rnacentral:rRNA from 1 species
UACGAAGGGGGCUAGCGUUGCUCGGAAUCACUGGGCGUAAAGGGUGCGUAGGCGGGUCUUUUAAGUCAGGGGUGAAAUCCUGGAGCUCAACUCCAGAACUGCCUUUGAUACUGAGGAUCUUGAGUUCGGGAGAGGUGAGUGGAACUGCGAGUGUAGAGGUGAAAUUCGUAGAUAUUCGCAAGAACACCAGUGGCGGAGGCGGCUCACUGGCCCGGUACUGACGCUGAGGUGCGAAAGCGUGGGGAGCAAACAGGG